CUCAAAUAGUGGGAUUAUAGUUACUAGAAAAUGAUCAUUUCCCCUUCCUUUUCCAAAAACGGCCAACUAUACAACUCCCUCAAUCCAUCCCAUGAUUAACUUUUUCUCUCAACCAUCAACACUAUAAAUAGACCCCAACUCAUCAUUCUCUCAAACACCAUUCAACACAUCACUUUCUCUUCACAAUUGCAUCUCUUUUGUUUAGUACGGCAAGAACUCUUAACCGUAAAGGAGUCCUAAACCUCUGAUCGUGUGGUUGGUCUUGGAAUCUCUAAAAAUCAACAUCGGAAAGGAAAGCACGUAAAGGUACCAAAGAAGGUGGACUAAACGAUGAUUGAAGCUUGCUUGCGAGAACGGGG